rnacentral:rRNA from 1 species
GACGAACGCUGGCGGCGUGCCUAAUACAUGCAAGUCGAGCGGACGGAUGGGAGCUUGCUCCCAGACCGUCAGCGGCGGACGGGUUAGUAACACGUGGGCAACCUGCCUGUAAGACUGGGCUAACUCCGGGAAACCGGGGCUAAUACCGGAUAACUCUUUCCCUCACAUGAGGGAAAGCUGAAAGAUGGCAUCUCGCUAUCACUUACAGAUGGGCCCGCGGCGCAUUAGCUAGUUGGUGAGGUAACGGCUCACCAAGGCGACGAUGCGUAGCCGACCUGAGAGGGUGAUCGGCCACACUGGGACUGAGACACGGCCCAGACUCCUACGGGAGGCAGCAGUAGGGAAUCUUCCGCAAUGGACGAAAGUCUGACGGAGCAACGCCGCGUGAGUGAUGAAGGUUUUCGGAUCGUAAAACGCUGUUGUCAGGGAAGAACAAGUACCGGAGUAACUGCCGGUACCUUGACGGUACCUGACCAGAAAGCCACGGCUAACUACGUG